rnacentral:rRNA from 1 species
AGCUCCAAUAGCGUAUAUUAAAGUUGUUGCAGUUAAAAAGCUCGUAGUUGAAUUCCAAACGUGGAUUGGCUGGUUUAUCCUUUGGAUGUUACUGGCGAUCCUGUUUAGAAAGUCGUGAACUUUUGAUGAUCUUAAUCGAUUGUCUUUUGUGACCGGCAUGUUUACUUUGAAAAAAUUGGAGUGCUUAAAGCAGGCUCAUGCCUGAACAGUGUUGCAUGGAAUAAUGAAAUAAGACUUCGGUCUUAUUUUGUUGGUUUUAGAGAUCGAAGUAAUGAUUAAAAGGAACUGACGGGGGCAUCUGUAUACCAGGGUUAGAGGUGAAAUUCUUAGAUCCUUGGUAGACAAACUACUGCGAAAGCAUUUGUCAAGAAUGUUUUCAUUAAUCAAGAACGAAAGUAGG